rnacentral:misc_RNA from 1 species
GCCACUGCAGUGCGUAGUUAAGAUUGAAAUCCGUUUCAUCGAUGCCAUUAAAUGAUUCCAUAUAUGCUUGUAGCUGAGAGUCUUCCUCUGUUAUAUUGUUUCCAGAAGCAGAAGCAGAAGCAGAAGCCACGACGGUACUGGAUUGAUCACCUUCUGCCAAGGUUGGCAUAUCAUCUGAAUCAUCUGGCUUCUUCUUCAAUUUGCAAAGAACGAA